UACAGAGGGUGCGAGCGUUAAUCGGAAUUACUGGGCGUAAAGCGCACGUAGGCGGCCUGGAAUGUCGGGUGUGAAAUCCCCGGGCUCAACCUGGGAACUGCAUCCGAAACUGGCUUGCUAGAGUAUGGGAGAGGGAAGUGGAAUUUCCGGUGUAGCAGUGAAAUGCGUAGAGAUCGGAAGGAACACCAGUGGCGAAGGCGACUUCCUGGACCAAUGCUGACGCUCAGGUGCGAAAGCGUGGGGAGCAAACAGG
rnacentral:rRNA from 1 species